GACUUGAUGUAAAUCAAAUGCGUGUGACAUGGAUCCGGCGGUAUCCGGCUACCCGCCGCCCUCCGCUAGCGCCACGCCUGCCGGGUAGGCUGACCCGGGCGGGGCGGCCGACCGCCGGGUCGCGGCGGCGGCCUGACCUUGGGGUCGUCAGUCGGGUCGGGAGCGCAGCGGCCGCCGGGCUGUGGUGUAUUGGUAUGGUGUCAGUGGUCGCCGAAUACAGAUACACUUCAUUGGCGACGAGGAUGAGAUGGCGUCGUUCGGCAGCAUCGGACCGUAUGAAGCGGGACGAGCGGAGUCCUGGGAUGAGUACUGCGAGAGGCUGGAUCAAUUUUUCAUCGCAAAUGAAGUAAGUGACCCUGCUAAGCAGAGAGCAAUUUUCUUGAGUGUUGUCGGCGGGGAAACUUACGGGAAGCUAAGAUCCCUUGUGGCCCCUCAGAAGCCAGGUGAGAUGCCGCUCAAGGAACUGUUGACUCACUUGCAACGCCAUUUUGAGCCAAGGCCUUCAGAAACAGUGGCCAGAUUCAGAUUUUUUACUUUUUGUCGGGCUGAGGGUCAGUCUGUGCAAGAUUACAUUGCAAAACUGAGGAAGCUGUCUGAACAUUGUAAUUUUGGUUCUUUCUUGUCCGCCAUGAUUCGAGAUCGGUUAAUUUGCGGAGUCAACUCGGACGCUAUUCAGACGCGUCUAUUGUCUGAAAGUAAUCUCACACUGGAACGAGCUGCCGAGAUCGCUGUGGCUUUGGAGGCUGCUGGCCAUGAUGUUCAGGAACUGAGAAGUGGUUUCAGGGACAGAGAAGGUGGCAGCAUCCAGGUCUCCACAGCGGACGUGCACCGAGUCGACAGAGCUCCUCGAGCGGCGGCAGAAGCGGGAGCCGACCGAGACAGGAGCACCAGGCGCUGGGGAGCCGGAGUUCGUCAGGUGACUGGUCAGAGGAGUGCAGGCGAUUCUCGCAAACCAAGUAAGUCCAGCGCAUCCGUUGCGUCCGGAAAUGAUGCCAAAUACCGGUGCUGGAGAUGCUUAAGUGGGCAGCAUCUUGACCGUAACUGCCCGUUCAAACUAAGACGCUGUUUCGAGUGUUCUAGGCUUGGACACACGCGAGCGGCUCACAGAGCAGGAACGGUUCACGUUGUAGAAGAAGACUUUGAGGUAGAGGCAGCUGAGCCGGCAGCUGAACAAGUUGGUCAGGUUGACGAAGAUGUUUAUGAUUUGUUCAGCUGUAAUAGUGCAAGCAAACGGCCCCCUAUUGUCAUUACAGCUGAGUUGAGUGGCAAACCAGUCCAGAUGGAGCUCGACACAGGCGCUAGUGCAUCACUGAUCAGUGAGGAGCUCUAUGAAAGUAUGUGGCCUGCCAGUGACCUUCCAUUGCAGGACUGUCCGCAGCGGUUCCGUACCUACACCGGCGAGGAGAUCAAGAUCCGAGGUGUCGCCGAGGUUGACGUCGCUGUUGAUGGUGCACCUGCGGUUCGACUACCGCUCAUGGUGGUCCAUGGAAAGGGCCCCAGCCUGUUUGGCCGCAACUGGCUUGAGAAGAUACGGCUGAACUGGAACAAGCUGUUCGAAGCAGAUCCAGAUCUGGACACAGGCGGAUCCAGUGCUGUCACGCGUCCUGGAGCUCACCAGAACCGGCUGGACGGCAGAUGCUGCGGACAACACAUCAGACCUGAAGCCGUACAUCAACAGGCAAGCUGAGUUGAGCAUCGAAAAUGGUUGCGUUUUGUGGGGCAGUAGAGUAAUCAUACCGCCACAGGGUCGUCACGCUAUGUUGUGUCAGCUGCAUGAGGGUCAUUUUGGUGUGGCCCGCAUGAAAAGUUUUGGCAGGAUGCACUUCUGGUGGCCGGGCUUUGACCAGGACGUAGAGAGGAUGGCUGCAGGAUGCCGUAGCUGCCAACGCUGGAGGAAUGCGGCGCCUCCAACGCCUCUGCAUCCAUGGGAGUGGCCCCGCUCUCCCUGGCAACGGCUCCAUGUCGACUAUUGCGGACCUGUCAACGGGGUGAUGCUUCUUGUCAUCAUCGAUGCUCACAGUAAGUGGAUGGAUGUGCACAUGACCAGAACAUCCUCGGCUGAGGUUACCAUUGAAAAGUUGAGGGAAACAUUUGCAUGUCACGGAGUUCCGGAGACUGUGGUCACAGACAAUGCCAGAUACUUUGUGUGUCCGGAGUUUAAAACGUUUUGUAAGCGAAAUGGAGUCAGACAUGUCACCUCUCCACCGUACUCGCCUCAUUCAAACGGUCUUGUGGAGAGAGCUGUGCAGACGCUGAAGCAGGGCCUACAACGUCAGUCUACAGGUAGCCUGAGUACUCGUCUGUCGAGGUUUUUGUUCCGCUACCGCAGUAUGCCCCACAGCGUGACGCAGCAGUCUCCCGCUGAGAUGCUCCUCGGCCGGCCAAUGCGGACUCAGCUGGACCUGCUGCGUGAAGACGCCAGACGGAGCGUGAUGGAGGCGUACCAGAGGAAGCAGAAGGCUCAGUAUGACGUGAGAGCACAGCCUCGCAUAUUCCAGACGUGUCGGUGCCGAACCACGAGUACCGGCGGACGAUGGUGCCAGAUGAGCCUCCGGACUCCUCUGCUCUGGACAGCGCCGCUCACGCCGUCGCCGGAGAAUCCAGAGACGCGACUGUGGGCGGUGCGGAGGCGUCAGAGACCGGCGCCCUCCCCUCUGAGAAGUGCGCGGACGUCGGACGACAUCCCUCGACGUCGUCGCCGUCUCCGCCGUCGCGGUUCGAGGCUGCGACCGCUUCUGCGCCGGUGCCGCGUCGUUCAGCGCGGGAGAGGCGUUGCCCAGUGCGAUUCCGGGCGGGGCAGUCUAAUCCUGUGGGGGAGGAGUGUGGUGACUUGAUGUAAAUCAAAUGCGUGUGACAUGGAUCCGGCGGUAUCCGGCUACCCGCCGCCCUCCGCUAGCGCCACGCCUGCCGGGUAGGCUGACCCGGGCGGGGCGGCCGACCGCCGGGUCGCGGCGGCGGCCUGACCUUGGGGUCGUCAGUCGGGUCGGGAGCGCAGCGGCCGCCGGGCUGUGGUGUAUUGGUAUGGUGUCAGUGGUCGCCGA
rnacentral:misc_RNA from 1 species